AACGAACGCUGGCGGCAGGCCUAACACAUGCAAGUCGAACGCUUCAGCAAUGAAGAGUGGCAGACGGGUGAGUAACGCGUGGGAACCUUCCCAGUGGUACGGAAUAGCCCAGGGAAACUUGGGGUAAUACCGUAUAAGCCCCUAGGGGGAAAGAUUUAUCGCCAUUGGAUGGGCCCGCGUCGGAUUAGCUUGUUGGUGGGUAAAAGCCUACCAAGGCGACGAUCCGUAGCUGGUCUGAGAGGAUGAUCAGCCACACUGGGACUGAGACACGGCCCAGACUCCUACGGGAGGCAGCAGUGGGGAAUAUUGGACAAUGGGCGCAAGCCUGAUCCAGCCAUGCCGCGUGAGUGACGAAGGCCCUAGGGUUGUAAAGCUCUUUUGGCGGGGACGAUAAUGACGGUACCCGCAGAAUAAGCUCCGGCUAACUUCGUG
rnacentral:rRNA from 1 species